rnacentral:rRNA from 1 species
GACGAACGCUGGCGGCGUGCUUAACACAUGCAAGUCGAACGGAAAGGCCCUGCUUGCAGGGUACUCGAGUGGCGAACGGGUGAGUAACACGUGGGUGAUCUGCCCUGCACUUCGGGAUAAGCCUGGGAAACUGGGUCUAAUACCGGAUAGGAGCCAUUUUUAGUGUGAUGGUUGGAAAGUUUUUUCGGUGUAGGAUGAGCUCGCGGCCUAUCAGCUUGUUGGUGGGGUAAUGGCCUACCGAGGCGGCGACGGGUAGCCGGCCUGAGAGUGUGGACGGCCACAUUGGGACUGAGAUACGGCCCAGACUCCUACGGGAGGCAGCAGUGGGGAAUAUUGCACAAUGCGCGCAAGCCUGAUGCAGCGACGCCGCGUGGGGGAUGACGGCCUUCGGGUUGUAAACUCCUUUCGCUAGGGACGAAGCUUUUUGUGACGGUACCUAGAUAAGAAGCACCGGCUAACUACGUG